GAUUGGAUAACUGAUUUAAAAAAAUAUCAACUCAUCUUGGAGACUUAUCUUAAUAUUUUUUUAUUAUAUAGUAGUGAUUCUAUUUUUGUUUAUUCGUUUGUUUUUUAGUGCCAUACCCUGGGCAUAUGGGUAUUCCCAGACUAGGGGUGGAAUUGGAGCUGCAGCUGCCUGCCUACACCACAGCCACAGCUAUGCCAGAUCCAAGUCAUGUCUGAGCUAUACCACAGCUCAUGGCAAAGCUGGCUCCUUAACCCAAUGAGGAAGGCCAGGGAUCGAGCCCUCAUCGUCAUGGAUACUACUUGGUUUUGUAACCCACUGAGACACAAUGGUAACUCUUCUAUUUUUUAUUCUAUAUGGAAGGACACCAUACAUUUUUUUAGUGUUAGGUUCUAUAAAGAAUAUAUCUCCCGCCUGGCAAGAGCUAACGGCUGCUGUUUUGAGCUGCAGCAAGUUGCUGGUAUGAGAAGAAGCUAAUGCUGUAUGAAAGAAAGAGUUAAGUUGAGAAUGCAAAGGUGACAGUAAGGAUCUGUUCAACAGUGAUGGAUGGUUAAUAAUUAACUCAUUUUUACAUUAUUAGUGUCCUUACUAUUUAUUAAAUGUCAAACUCUACAGUGAGAAGAUAAUUUCAAACUUCUAGCAUUUCCAUCAUUAACUAUCAUUUUUUUUUUUUUCUGUAGAAUCUAAUACAUCCUCAAUUGUAAGACUACAGUUUUAGGUGAAGUUAAAAUAAAACAAAACUUACAAUUAAUCUAUAAACACCACAAAUGCUAAAAAAAAUACUCUGACUUCAGAGAUGUUAAAAUAUUAAAAUAAGCAUGACUUGGAAUCAAGGAAACAUAGUAAUUAAAUUGUUUGUCCAACUCAAAGUAUCAGUGAACCUACUCUGUGCCAGGUACUGGGAGAGGCACUCUAGUCGUAUCACACAGAACUAAUACCAGACAAUCUCUGCCCCCAAGCUGUCAACAGUUUAGUAAAUUCAAUAAGUAAUAACAAUAAAAUUUGGAGAGUACUUGGAUAUGGGAAAUAGAGUUUGAUGUUUGAGCUGUGACCCAAAUGAUAAAUAGAUGCUAGUCAGAUAGUAUGUAGUUGGAGCCAGGAAAGGGGUUCUAGCUAAGAGGAUUAAACCAGAGCAAACUGAAAAGAAGAUGGUGCUAAGAAAAUUCAGUAUGGCUAAAACAUAUGUUUGGCCCAUAAAGUUUAAGUGUCAGGAAUGUGGUUAAAGAGACAAGUUCCUGAAGGAGUGAUAAGGAAAGAGUACUGGAAAAUCACAUUUAGAUCUGUAAUAGCUAUCAUUUAAUACAAUCAGGAUCCUAGUCACUGUGCAUGUACCUUCUCCUUGAGAUACUUUUUUUUCCCUUUGGGUUGAAUGGAAUUGAAUGUUUGUGGUCAGGGAAAUAUUUACAUGGAGGAUUAACCUGUAAUUAACACAACUUUUUUUUUGGAAGUUCCAAGGCCGGGGAUCAAACCUGCACCACAGCAGUGGCAUGAGCCACUUCAGUGACAAAGUGACAAUGCUGAAUCCUUAACCUGCCAUACCACAAGGGAACUCUAUUAACAGAAAUUUUUGACUUGAGACUUAUGGGUGUGCAGGUGGCGUACAUCUUGACACAUGCAGGGAAAUUUCAGCUUUGUACCUGGAAAGCUAGAGGCAGGAUGUCAUCUGAAAACUAUUCUUUCAUUGGAGUAUUCCAAUAGAAAAUAUUUUAAAAUUUACGUUCAUACAAUAUAGAAUACUAAGUAGUGGAAAGUAGCUCAAAUAAUGCUACAUGUAUCAACAUAAAUAUACCCCAUAUAUAUCAUGCUUAGAGAAAAAUCUGUGGGUAAAAUUAUAUGUAAAGUAUGAUUCUACUUUUACUGAGAGUAAAACCAUGCACAACAAAUUAUUUAUGACUCAAUGAUAUAAACAUGGUAAAAUUAUCAUGGAAAAUCAAGGGUUUGAUAUUCUGUUUUUAAUGACUGUAUGUUAAUAUAUAUGUUAAGUUUUCUAUUAACAAAUAAGGUCAUACUAGAAUAAUAAUAGUAUUCUAUCCCAUUAUACUAUCUCUUUCUAAUAUCUAAUGCCCUCAGUGCACAGUACCUUACAAAUUCUUCUCGCCAUUACAAUUAUUUUCUAGUAAUUAUCACAUCCUUGCAUAUCUAAGUGUCAGACUCUAUGAGGCUGUUAUCCUCUCUAGUUAACAGGUAGUUUGAAAAUCAGAGAUUUCAUAGCAAAUAAGCUCAGGAGAGGCAGGACAGACCAAGCCUUUGUCUGUAGCCCUGGGAUCCUUCCUGCAGAGACACAACCUGAUUAUUGACUGUGAAAGUCCGCUAGGAUUUAUCAAAGAAGAACUCUCUGGAGCUGUGCUCUCCAUGUCAAUAGUCAUUAGCUCUACUUGCUAUUAAAUACUUUAAAAAUGGUUCAGGAAAAUCCAUAAGUUCAAUAUUUGGGAAGUGUUAGCUAUUUAUUCCUAACCGGCAACCUCAUUUUGAAAAAAAAAAAGAAAUGCUUCCUUCGAGUUUUACUCUCUUUGGAGCUAGCCUAUUCAGAUGAUAAGUUUUGGGGCUGGUCAUCAACUUUCUCACUUCAAAGGAAAAAUGUAUCUGCAUUAGUUCAUAGGGAGUCCCUUUCUUUAUCUUUCCCUGUCAACUGCUUCUAAAGAAGUGUUGUUUCUUUCUCAGCUCACAUCGAUGGCCUUCCAGGGGAUUCCCUGUAACCAAGUGACAAAGAGGGAAAAUUCUGGUCUGGUCAGUUUAAACAUCUGAUGUAAGCUGAAAAUGUACACCUGCUAUACUUCUGCCCAAUCUAGGUAUGCUCCUACAAGACAGUGAUGAGAGAAAGCUGUCCCAGUGAGAAGAGUUGGGCAUUAUAUCCUUGGCCAUUCAUUUUGUUGAAUUGGGACUUAGACAAAGGUUGGAAGACAGGAAAAAAGAAGUCUGGAGUAUUAUAUGCAGAUAGAUUUAGGAGAAGGCGUCAAGUUUGUGGCCUACUCUGCAUCUCAUAUUCAUGCUUGCCAGAGACAGAAAACCUCUAUCACAGAAGAGAAUUGUGACUUUUAGGUAGACAGUGUAGCCCAUCCUGUUGAUGUCAGUCAGCUCAUUUCCUAGCCAGCAUGAUGUUUUUGCAAUGGGAAGAUGAAGAGAUUGUCCAUGGUGGCUGGGAUAUAAUUAUGCAUGGACCCAACAGUGUGGGUUUCCUCUCACCAAGGCAGAUGAACUACUGCUAUGGCUGAAUGGAUAACCUGUCAAUGGCAGCAUCAAGUGCAGGUCCUCAAUAUGGUACCAAUUCAAGUUGAACAAUUUGGAGACAUGUUGAAAUUAGACCCUUUCAACCUUGGAGGCAGCAAUUUAAUCUCACCAGAACUGCUGUAAUUCUGGAUAAGGAUUUGCUUUCCCACACAUGGUAUAUCUGCCAAACUUACCACCCAGGCUCUCAGAAAAUCCUUAUUGGAAUGGGAUUCUACGCAUUUCCUCAGACCAACAAGACAAUUUCAUGGCAAAAAAGUUGAGGCAACAGGUGACUUGCCAUUUCCAUGGAAUCUAUUUGUCUCAUUACAUACCUUAUCACCACAAAGUGCUAAACUAAUAUGAUAAUGGAACUACUUCUUGAUUGUUCACUAAAAUGACAGCUCAGAGCCAGGACACCAUGCAGAUUUGGUAAGCUGUCCCUUAAGAUGUGCAAUAUCCACCAAACUAAUGGCCAAUAUAUUGUGCUGUGUUCCUAAUAUCUAGCACAUCAGUUCCAUAACCAACUAAUAAAAGUACCAUUGGCUCCUCUUUCCAUUACCCUUGUCAAUACAUUUUGGACGUUGUGUUUAGGUACUCACAAUUUAGACUCUGUUGGAUUAUAAGUUCAUUUCUACUGGGGGAGUGUUCUUCCAGAGGACACAAUAAAGAUAUCACUAAACUGGAAGCUAAAAUGACCACCUUAUCAAACUGGGCUGCUCAUGCCAAUGAUCCCACAAGAAGGAAAGAGGUUAUGAUGCUGGCAGGGUAUUGACACUGAUCAUGAUAAAGAGUUAGAGUGGGAGCUAUUUGAUGGGAAAGAGGAGGGCAUGUCUAUGUGUGUCUUGGUACUUCAGGGCCCAGAAAUAAAUCUUAGUAGACCACUGCAGCAAUAAAGGCCCACCACAGACAAGUCGACUAAUUCCUUGAAGACUUGAGUUGCCCCUUAGGCAAGAAACCACACUAGCUGAAGUGAAGAAGUUCUAAAAGGAGAUGAUGAAUACCAGUUACAACUUUGAAUGAUACAAUGAUGGAACCAUAGUUGUCAAACUAAUCCUCAUACUAUGUAGGUUCCAUUCCUGGCCUGGCUCAGUGGGUUAAGGAUCCAGCACUGCUGCAAGCUGCAGUGUAGUUCGCAGAUGCAGCACAGAACCAGUGUUGCCAUGGCUGUGGCAUAGUCCUGCUGCUGCAGCUCUAAUUCAACCCCUUGCAUAGGAACUUCCAUUUACUGCAGGUACAGCUGUAAAAAGAAAAAAAAAGCAGAGUGGUUAUGGAGUAGAAUUAAACCCAUGCAGAUGUUGCACUGGAAGAACUAUAUUAAAUACCUUGAGAUUAAUAUAAAAGCCCUUAUUAAAUCCCAUUUCUUCUCUACAUCUCUUCUCAUUCCAAUCACUAAUUCACCAAACAAUAUUUCACAGACCUGUCAAAUGUACAUUGCCCCUCUUGUGUACUGCUUGGGUGCUUUUCUGACAUAUGCUUUGGGACACUUGUGGAAGCCAGCUUAGAAUUCCUAUGUGCAACUCAGAAGUUCAGGGAGUUUAUGACUCAUAAAGAAACUCUCAAUGGGAGACAGGAUCAGAUGGGUAAUUACUUCCUCUUUACUCCCCUUGAAUCCUGAGAUCCUUAUCAUAAAUUUUGUCCAAGUGGGAUUGCACACUCAGUAUUCAGAGAAGCAGUCAAUUUGAAAACAUAUCUUUAUAUAGGCUUUCUCUCCUUUACCAUUACACUUUCCCUCGUCUUAGCCCACUCAAUCUUCUGUAACAAAAUAAUGGACAAGGUGGCUUAUAAACAAACAAACAAAAAAUUAUUUCUCAUAUAUUGUUGCUUCAGGGCACCAGUUCUGGAAACUGGGAAGUCCAAGAUCUAACCACCAGCAAAGUCGUGUCUGGAGAGGGCCUGCUUGCUGGUUCAAAGACAACCCAUCUUCUUGCUAGGAAUUUUGGAGGGACGCAAACAUUCAGUCUAUGGCACCCUUGUUCCUCACUUCUACUUCCUAGGAGUAUUUGCUCAAGAGACUUUGCAUUAAAAUCCCUUUGAGCUGUGUUUUAAAGAGAACCUACACUAUGAAUACGACAUAAAAAUGAACAAUUUUCUAUGAAUGUAUUCCUUUGUUGUAAUAUCUCCACAUACUCAUACAUCUGCCCUUUUAGGAAGCAUCAAAAUAGAUAAGAACUCUAGAGGUGAGAAAAUGAAAGAAGACAAGAAAAAUCCUACUGAAACACAUUUUAGAUAAGGACAUCAAAAGGAGAGCCCAUCAGGAAGAGAGAAGGUACAGUUCUUGAAUGAGAAGUAAUAUUUGAAGGUCCCCACAUCCCACAUCUUGAAAAGUUUGGGUACAAAGACUUUGAAAUUCUGGGUUCAUCCCAAAAUCAAACUUAAAAGUCAUGGUAAUUUGGAAACAUGUACUGAAGUGACAGAAAUAAGUCAUUUUAAAAAGUCAUUACUUGGAAGCAAGCACAAGAUGCUUUAUUUAUGUGCCUUCAAGUUGGAAACACAAAGUGUAUAUGAAUAGAGACAUUUGGAAAUGGAGGGUCUUCUAUAGUGGAUAAUUUCAAGAGGUCUGCAGUUACUUAGUUUUGAUGUAUUUAGAGUGUAUUUCAGCUUUAUUUAAACUUGUAAUUCAACAGUGACCCUGGGCGGAAGUAUGGUCAGGAGCAGGGGUGGAAAUUGUGCAAUUUCUAGAAGAAGAGAUGGUUGCAUAUUGCAGUUUUUUAGAAUUAUGGCUUCUCAAACCCUACAGUUCACUAAAAAUAAAAACAAAACAACACAUAAACAAAAUCACAGUUAGCUUCUGUUCUUUAGGUCUUCUGUUUUAAUGGUGUAUUGCUUCUCUAGAUUUGACCACCUGACUGCAACUCAUGCCCAAAAGAGCCUGUGUCCUCUGCCUGGCUUCUUCUAUGCUCCCCUGAGGCUCUGGGCAAUUUAGGAGUCAAAUACUUGCCACCAAAGUAUAUACUUUUUUCUUGUUUGUCAUUUUCAUGUUAAUUUUGAAAAGCAUGAGGAAAGGCAUUCCACGUGUUUCAUAGAAUGCCUAAUAGGUAGUAUUACUUUAUAAAUAUGGAAAGAAUGUAACAGUUUAUAAGAUAAAUUAUUUUUAGAUGUUA
rnacentral:lncRNA from 1 species